UCAGGUCAUAGGUGCUGUGAUCUAGAGAAAAAGUAUUCCUUACACUGGCAAAUACUUGCAAACUAAGGGGAAUGAGUUUCCCUCUGAAUGUUUAUGAAGGAUAGGCCACUAUGAGGAUAGGACGGUGAAGUUCAACUACAGCCCACAUAUGAAAAUGAGUAAUGUUAAUCCAGCCUCUCAAGGCAGUCAUCUGUCUUAGAGCUAUUGGAAUCCUGGAUCAUUGUGGGAAAUGAAAGGAACUGGUUUUUAGCAAGGAGACCGAGAAACUCUACUCCCUAGGGGCUAGCAAUGAGAGAAAGGAAGCCUUAAGUCUUUGAGCACAGGGUGACAGUUUGGGUCCUAUGUGAGGUGAUCAAGUCCAUAGCAACAGAGGGAAGGACCAAAGGAAAAGAUACUUCGAUGGAAUCAGCAGCCAUUGAUCCAACCCCAACUCCAAGACUGGAACGUCGCAAUGAUAGUUCUAAGGCGGAAAUUUGACGUAAUUCUUUUCGACACAGUUUUACCGGUCUGGAUGCCCAUUUUAAUUCUUCUGAAAGCAUGCCUCCUUCUUCUGGCUUCAGGACUCCAUCUCCAGCCUCAUGAUCUAAAAAUAAUCCCCAAACCAAAAAAUUAGAUAUUAUUUCCUCAAAAUUAGGUGUUUUAAUCAAAACAUCUUAACAUAAAUACAUUAUUAUCACCCAAUAUGC